rnacentral:lncRNA from 14 species
AUGCUGGAGAUUUAGCAAGAGAGUUGAAUGAUGUGAUGUGGAGAAUACUGGAGGUUUGUUUGUUAAAGUGGGCUAGAGAGAAUUCCCAGAUCACCACUACAGGCAAUUUGCCUCUGAGGUAUGCUGUAGAAAAUUCCUAGCAUAAACAGUAUCUGGCAUGAUGAGCAAUCUGGGCAUAAUUAGUAAAAGGGAAGCAUAUCAAAAAUCUAUCAGUCAGCACUGAGAACCUUUUUCAUUCCCUCACCUGCCCCGUUCUGUUGGUGGUGCUCAAGAUGAGCCUGACUGGAGCUUUGAGAGUCAGGAUUAAGUGUUUACAUUUUUCUUUUGUUUCAGGUGAAAGUUAACACAGGUGUCCAAAACCAAAACGUACUAGAAGAGUGUGCAUCUGCAGAAUGGAAUGUUCCCAUGGAGUCCUUGUAUUCUGUUGUCUAAAUUCUUUCCCUGUGUAUGGAUUGUUGAUGCAAGAAAAGAAAGCACAGUGGCCCCUUUGGAGCUCCUGUGGUCAUUCAGAAGAACCCAGUAUCUAUGUAUGUCAAAAAACUCAUGCUGAUGAGUGCAGGAUCCAGAAUUGUUGA